AAAAUAAUCCUACCCUUUGUGAAUUUUGUUUGUUUGAAUAAUUUUUUUUCUAAAAAAUUAUUGGAGUCUUUCCCUUUAGAGUUUGCUUUUGAGUUUGUAAAAGAAUUCGAAAACAUCUAAAGGGGAUGGUCAAUAAUUUUUUUUGAAAAAGACAUUUUUUAAAAUUAAACUUUUGUAUUCAUUUGUCUAAAAAUUAUUUUUAUAAUAUAAAAACAACUUUUGACAAUGGAUCUCUUGGUUCUCGCAACGAUGAAGAACGCAGCAAAAUGCGAUAAGUAGUGUGAAUUGCAGAAUACGUGAAUCAUCGAAUCUUUGAACGCAUAUUGCACUUUUUUAGUUUACUAAAAAAGUAUGUCUGUUUGAGUAUCAGUAAAAUAUUCUCAUAAAAAAUCAUUGUGUAUUUUUAUGGUUAUGAGUGUUUUACAACGAUACAAGUUGUUUCACUUUAAAUUUUUUUUAAUAUUGAAAUUUUUCUAAUUUUAAUAAUUAAAAUUGGAUAAAAUUUUCCCGUCAAAGGAAUAACCUAAACAAUUUUAAAUGAUUAAUUUUAGCAAAAUUUUCGAAAAAAGGAAAUUUUUAUUAAAAUAACUUGAUCUCAAAUCAGAUAAGAGUACCCGCUGAACUUAAGCAUAUCAAUAAGCGGAGGAAAAGAAACUAACAAGGAUUCCCUUAGUAACGGCGAGUGAAGCGGGAAGAGCUCAAAUUUGAAAUCUUCAAGGUUUUACCUUGACGAAUUGUAGUUUAAAGAAGUGUUUUCUGCUGAAGUUUGGUAAAAGUUCUUUGGAAUAGGACAUCAUAGAGGGUGAGAAUCCCGUAUUUGACCAUUAUUUUCAGCUUUGUGAUACACUUUCAAAGAGUCGGAUUGUUUGGGAAUGCAGUCCAAAAUGGGUGGUAAAUUUCAUCUAAAGCUAAAUAUUGGCGAGAGACCGAUAGCGAACAAGUACCGUGAGGGAAAGAUGAAAAGAACUUUGAAAAGAGAGUUAAACAGUACGUGAAAUUGUCAAAAGGGAAGCGUUUGACACCAGUGUUGUUUUCUCGAAAAUCAAUUAAAAAUGGCUCGAUUUUGUAUUGCUGAGACCUUAAAAGCUCACUGUACAUUUUUCGUGUCUUUUUUAAUGCACUUUUCGUUUAACAAGUCAACAUCAGUUUCUUUUGUUGUAAAAGGGUCAUUGGAAGGUGGCUUUCUUUUCGGAGAAAGUGUUUAUAGCCUUUGGCCUCUGCAAUCGGAGAGACUGAGGUCUGCAGCGUAGACUCUUCGGGGUUAGAUACAUUUGUGCUAAGUUAUAGCUUUUUAUAGACAACUUGUUGACUAUAAUUAGUCUUGUAGCUUACUCGCUUAUGCUAUUUUACCUACGCUUAGGAUG
rnacentral:misc_RNA from 1 species